rnacentral:lncRNA from 1 species
CAUGUAAUACAGAACGACAAAAGUAACAUUCAUAUUAUUACUAACAGAACUUGGUGCCAAACAAAUUACGUUGUACAAAAUUAGUUAUAGCGAGCAAGCGCACAGGGCACAGCUUGAUAGCAACUAUUACUACUACUCAAGAGUUAAGACAGACUCGAUCGCUGACAAGUAGCGUAAUACACUAAUGCAUACAUAAGUAGUUGUUCUUGGCUCGACAAUGAUGAUGCAGCAAACUACAUAAGGAAGCCAAAUAGGAUACAUCAACAACCCUCCUUCGUCUUUGCAGCUAGCUAGGUUAAUAAUGGCAAUCGAGCUUUUAUUCUGCUCGGCCGGUAGGUGGAUGUGAAGUGGCAGCGGCAUUGGCGAGGUCAAUGUGCUCUUGAACGAACUUCUCCAAUGUUUUCCUGUGGUCCUUGAAGGCCAUGAUGUUGUACUCCCUGAUCGUCGUAGUGUCGGCCCCGAAGACAGUCUUCUCACAGAGGUUGAUGAAAAAGUCGAGCUGGUCAUGCACGAUGAGGCGCUGUGCAGCGAGGGCGACCUCCAGGCAGACCUCCGCAGGUGUGGCCACGGGCAGCUGCAUGCCC